AACUUCCACUUUGAAAAUGUUUUUCAAUAUUCACUCCCUCCUGAUUUAUAUGUUUUUACGAAAACAUGGCGUUGAAGUAUCACGGCACAUGUAGAUUGAUAUUACGAAUAAAAUUCAAGAUUUAUUAAGUGAAUAAGAUUUACAUUCGAUAUACGGGUUGUCUGUAUACAACUAUUUAGUGAAAUUUAUGAAUUUCUGCAAAAAGGUGCUGUUAAAGCAGUUGUACCAAGUAUAAUCAAAGGAAAUUGAAAAAGAAAAUGA